AUUUUUACAACUUUUAUCUCUGUCUUCCUGCCCAAAGACAAAUGUCGUUGACCGAAUCCAUAAAGUCUACCCAAACACUCUUAAGGCCACAAUGGACCUACAUUCCUGGCCUUCACUCGAUUUCCGGAUCUCUUCUUGCCCGGGGCUAAGAUACUGAAAUAAGGACUUAUUAAAAUUAACAUACUUGCAAUUCCGGUUCUUGGAAAGAUGGGCUUGUUUCUGAGAUCUUUACCCAAGGAAAACUCCGUCUGUUUUUGCUGAAAUCUUUAGCACUUCGUGUUUGAUGAAGACAUCUGCUUCUGGUUUCAAAUAAUCUCAUUUGGGACACCUAGGGCCAAUGCUACGCCUCAGUCCCCUUCGGUCAACAACACCCACUCGACAACUCUCAAGCCAGUAGCUGUUUGUUUUCCUGCGGUGAAACACGCGGAUAACACAUCUUUUGAGUAAAACAAUGUCAUUGUGUAGCCACUGUCAUCCUUCGAUGGAUGAGGUCAAGACACUCCUCAAAAUCGCUCUCAGGGAUAAAUUUUGUUGGUGGUUGGGAAAGCGGAGUGGGGGAAUGUUUCGCGAUUGGGAAAACAGCUCAUUUUCCCGGUUGGGCGGGGGGGUGGCUUGGACGUGCUCCUAGUGCGACGACGCAGACAAGGCGCCCAUCCGAGCCGUCCGGUCCCUUUGUCCUACACCCCACCCUGGAGGUAUGAGGAUCCGCGCAAUGCGGUUCGGAGGCGGCCGCGGCGCCCCAGAGGUGAAAGCGGAGGCGCCAGGACGCCGGUGCCGGCCUCUCAGGAUGCUAGGCGGCCACACACGAGAUGAGGAAACUGAGGCCCAGAGAGAUCACACAGCUACUAAGUCAAGGAGCUGGGACAGGCGUGGGUGCUGAAAAGUGAUUGAUACUGAUAGUAAAAUUGAGGAAGACAUGAUGUUUUUGUAAUUUGAGAAAAAUCACUGAAGAAUAAACUAUAUGAAGUCAUUGAUGCCAAAUUCCCAGCCCCAGCCUUUGCAGCUGCCCCGCCUGGGGUUCGUCUCUAUGGGAAGGAGUCUUUGCCGUGGACAGAGGCCGUGAUGACGAAGGUCAGGCUUAGAGAUCCAGGAAGUUGAGACAUGGAAAGCAGGAGUGGAGCAAGGAGAUUCUGGAAGAGCUGCUAUUUUAUUGCCUUGACGUGUGGAUGAACUGCUUAACCUCUCUACAAUGGGUGGCAAAAAUCAUGACAUUUCACACACUCCGCCCCAGUGGAACCCAUCUUCCUCUGCUGUCUAACUGAAGAACUAGCAAUGCCUUCCAAAGCUAAAGGAAACUCCAGCUCCAUGCAACAGAUGGUGCCAAGUGAUAGAAAGAAAACAGUGGGAAGAAUACCUGGUAUAUAGCAGAAAACUGGAGCUUCAACAUGGUGGCAUACAGUGUUUAAACUGAUACCUUGCUCAACUCUGGAU
rnacentral:lncRNA from 1 species